AGUGAACGCUGGCGGUAGGCCUAACACAUGCAAGUCGAACGGCAGCACAGUAAGAGCUUGCUCUUACGGGUGGCGAGUGGCGGACGGGUGAGGAAUACAUCGGAAUCUACUUUUUCGUGGGGGAUAACGUAGGGAAACUUACGCUAAUACCGCAUACGACCUACGGGUGAAAGCAGGGGAUCUUCGGACCUUGCGCGAUUGAAUGAGCCGAUGUCGGAUUAGCUAGUUGGCGGGGUAAAGGCCCACCAAGGCGACGAUCCGUAGCUGGUCUGAGAGGAUGAUCAGCCACACUGGAACUGAGACACGGUCCAGACUCCUACGGGAGGCAGCAGUGGGGAAUAUUGGACAAAGGGCGCAAGCCUGAGCCAGCCAUACCGCGUGGGUGAAGAAGGCCUUCGGGUUGUAAAGCCCUUUUGUUGGGAAAGAAAAGCAGCAGGUUAAUACCCCGCUGUUCUGACGGUACCCAAAGAAUAAGCACCGGCUAACUUCGUG
rnacentral:rRNA from 1 species